GUUACAGCAGCCGCGGUAAUACGUAGGGUCCAAGCGUUAUCCGGAAUCACUGGGCGUAAAGCGUGCGUAGGCGGCGUGUUAAGUGUGAUGUUAAAUCGUGGGGCUCAACCCUGUCGGUGCAUCACAUACUGGCAUGCUAGAGGAAGGCAGAGGCAAGUGGAAUUUGUAGUGUAGCAGUGAAAUGCGUAGAUAUUACAAGGAACACCAAUGGCGAAGGCAGCUUGCUGGGCCUUUUCUGACGCUGAGGUACGAAAGCGUGGGGAGCGAACAGGAUUAGAAACCCUCGUAGUCC
rnacentral:rRNA from 1 species